rnacentral:rRNA from 1 species
AGCGCAGACGGUGUGGCAAGUCUGAUGUGAAAGGCAUGGGCUCAACCUGUGGACUGCAUUGGAAACUGUCAUACUUGAGUGCCGGAGGGGUAAGCGGAAUUCCUAGUGUAGCGGUGAAAUGCGUAGAUAUUAGGAGGAACACCAGUGGCGAAGGCGGCUUACUGGACGGUAACUGACGUUGAGGCUCGAAAGCGUGGGAGCAAACA